rnacentral:misc_RNA from 1 species
UCCUUGCAAACACAUUCGAAAGAUGCUAUUCUUUAAAAUAAUUAUUUUUGUUCGGUGUAAAGGAUAGCAUAUGUAAAGCUUUUCGUCUUGAUAAUCACUGAGAGCAAGGAUAGUAUUACAUUGUGUGUAUUUACACACUAGGAGGCAACACAAAUGGAAAAAGGUAAAGUAAAAUGGUUCAACAGCGAAAAAGGCUUCGGAUUCAUCGAACGUGAAGGUGGAGACGAUGUAUUCGUUCAUUUCUCAGCGAUCCAAGGCGAAGGGUACAAAUCUCUUGAAGAAGGUCAAGCAGUGACUUUUGACGUAGAGCAAGGUCAACGUGGACCCCAAGCUUCAAACGUUCAUAAAGCUUAAUUAUAAGAACGAAUAUAGAAAGACUCUUUAGAGUCUUUUUU